rnacentral:rRNA from 1 species
AUAAUGACGGUACUUGAGGAGGAAGCCCCGGCUAACUACGUGCCAGCAUCCGCGGUAAUACGUAGGGGGCUAGCGUUAUCCGGAUUUACUGGGCGUAAAGGGUGCGUAGGCGGUCUUUCAAGUCAGGAGUGAAAGGCUACGGCUCAACCGUAGUAAGCUCUUGAAACUGGGAGACUUGAGUGCAGGAGAGGAGAGUGGAAUUCCUAGUGUAGCGGUGAAAUGCGUAGAUAUUAGGAGGA